UAGGAGUCUCUGCUAGAGAAGAAUUUCAGCUGCAGUUCCAACUUAAGCAGGCAGGAAAAAAAAAUACAAGGAUAAAAGUAGAAGGAUUUGAAAGCAGCACCUAGGUGGGAAUCUUGUGUGCAGUCAAGAAAAGAGUCUUUCCACAGGAAGCUGUUCACAGUCAAUGUGACACCAUAAUCUCUGAUUCAUCCCAUCACUAUUAUAUGACAGUUAAAUAAGGUGACAGAGCACUGGAACAGUGGAACAGGUUGUGCAGUGAGGCUGUGGUCUCCCUUCCUGUAGAUCUUCAAAAGCAUCCUGGUCAAGGUCCUGGGCAGCACACUCUAGGUGUCCCUGCUUGAGCAGGGGUUUGGACUAGAUGACCUCCAGAGGUCCCUUCCAACCUCUAUGAUUCUGUGAUUCUGUGAUCCUGUGACUAGCCCUCAUUACAUAAGAUAAAAACCAGCAUCAUUUUAGACCUACAAAGGGACUGUGAUUAUCAAUUAGAAGAAAGAUAGCAGAUUGAGGAGCUAUGUUGGAAAGACAGAAAAUAAAAGCUCCCUCCCUCCCUCACCCACCCUCACAACAAGAUAUUAGCAUUUAUGUUAAAUAGUGAGUUUGCUGCCAAAUAAUUUGUCAUCCUAUUCUCUUUAGUUCUUUUCUGUGUAUGACUAUGAGUACUUCUGUGGCCUUGUGGGAAAACUAUUUCUUCCUGUGGCAACUACAAAUAGGAGCCUCCUAAUUGUUGGCCGAUUAUGAAGAAUUUGGUGACCUCCAGACUAGACUGCAACUGUAUUGCACUUAAAUACCUGUAACCUCACACUUUAAGCAGAUAUGGGUAGGGGGAACAGCAUCUUCUGUCGACUGGCAGAGGGUAUUUCUGAUUUCAUCCUUCACUGAAAAGAUGGAAAUACGUUAUAAAAAAUUGUUUCUAUUAAUUAAUAGCAGUUUCUGAAAGCAUACAAUAUCUUAAAGGAUGAGACGCUAUAUGGACAUACAACAAAGAGAUGUAAGAGAGCAGAUCUAAGGCCAUUGUGGCAACAUGCAACUCAGGACAAAUUCAUAAACUAACCUUUCAGAAGCAUAAAGAUAAAUUAUAUCCUAAACACAGAUCUAAGAAUUUUUCCAUCCAAAUGAAAAAAUGAGACAUGGCGUGAAAAAUGUGAAAGCAGAACAGGUCUUCCCUGAAUCUUUCUCCUUUUUUUCAAAUAAAUCCUGACAGAUGAUGAAGGUAAAAUCACUGAUGCUGUAGAUGCAGAAGGUAACGGCAA